rnacentral:rRNA from 1 species
UACGUAGGGGGCGAGCGUUGUCCGGAUUUAUUGGGCGUAAAGAGCUCGUAGGCGGCUUGGCAAGUCGGGUGUGAAACCUCCAGGCUCAACCUGGAGACGCCACUCGAUACUGCUAUGGCUAGAGUCCGGUAGGGGACCACGGAAUUCCUGAUGUAGCGGUGAAAUGCGCAGAUAUCAGGAGGAACACCGGUGGCGAAGGCGGUGGUCUGGGCCGGCACUGACGCUGAGGAGCGAAAGCGUGGGUAGCAAACAGG